rnacentral:hammerhead_ribozyme from 1 species
AUCCAGCUGACGACUACCAAAUAGGACGAAACGCGCGUCCUGGAU